GCGGCCGUAGCUCAGUGGAUAGAGCGCUUCCCUCCGGAGGAAGAGGUCGUGGGUUCGAGUCCCACCGGCCGUGCCA
rnacentral:tRNA from 1 species